rnacentral:rRNA from 1 species
GAUGAACGCUAGCUACAGGCUUAACACAUGCAAGUCGAACGGUAACAGCGAGGAAAGCUUGCUUUUUUCGGCUGACGAGUGGCGAACGGGUGAGUAAUACAUCGGAACGUGUCCGCUCGUGGGGGACAACCAUCCGAAAGGAUGGCUAAUACCGCAUGAGUUCUACGGAAGAAAGAGGGGGACCUGCUUGCAGGCCUCUCGCGAGCGGAGCGGCCGAUGACUGAUUAGCCGGUUGGUGAGGUAACGGCUCACCAAAGCAACGAUCAGUAGCUGGUCUGAGAGGACGACCAGCCACACUGGGACUGAGACACGGCCCAG